rnacentral:tRNA from 1 species
UUAAUUGAAGCCAAAAAGAGGCUUAUCACUGUUAAUGAUAUUAUUGAAUCUUAUUCCAAUUAAA